UACACAUGCAAGUCGAACGAUGAACCGCUUUCGGGCGGGGAUUAGUGGCGAACGGGUGAGUAACACGUGGGCAAUCUGCCCUGCACUCUGGGACAAGCCCUGGAAACGGGGUCUAAUACCGGAUAUGACUGUCCAUCGCAUGGUGGAUGGUGUAAAGCUCCGGCGGUGCAGGAUGAGCCCGCGGCCUAUCAGCUUGUUGGUGAGGUAGUGGCUCACCAAGGCGACGACGGGUAGCCGGCCUGAGAGGGCGACCGGCCACACUGGGACUGAGACACGGCCCAGACUCCUACGGGAGGCAGCAGUGGGGAAUAUUGCACAAUGGGCGAAAGCCUGAUGCAGCGACGCCGCGUGAGGGAUGACGGCCUUCGGGUUGUAAACCUCUUUCAGCAGGGAAGAAGCGAAAGUGACGGUACCUGCAGAAGAAGCGCCGGCUAACUACGUGCCAGCAGCCGCGGUAAUACGUAGGGCGCAAGCGUUGUCCGGAAUUAUUGGGCGUAAAGAGCUCGUAGGCGGCUUGUCACGUCGGUUGUGAAAGCCCGGGGCUUAACCCCGGGUCUGCAGUCGAUACGGGCAGGCUAGAGUUCGGUAGGGGAGAUCGGAAUUCCUGGUGUAGCGGUGAAAUGCGCAGAUAUCAGGAGGAACACCGGUGGCGAAGGCGGAUCUCUG
rnacentral:rRNA from 1 species